rnacentral:rRNA from 1 species
AAAUUGAAGAGUUUGAUCAUGGCUCAGAUUGAACGCUGGCGGCAGGCCUAACACAUGCAAGUCGAGCGGAAACGACAACUAACAAUCCUUCGGGUGCGUUAAUGGGCGUCGAGCGGCGGACGGGUGAGUAAUGCCUAGGAAAUUGCCUUGAUGUGGGGGAUAACCAUUGGAAACGAUGGCUAAUACCGCAUGAUGCCUACGGGCCAAAGAGGGGGACCUUCGGGCCUCUCGCGUCAAGAUAUGCCUAGGUGGGAUUAGCUAGUUGGUGAGGUAAUGGCUCACCAAGGCGAC